GGAAGUAAAAGUCGUACAAGGUUUCCGUAGGUGAACCUGCGGAAGGAUCAUUAUUGUAUAACCGAGGUGCGAGGGCUGUCGCUGACCCGAAAGGUCGUGCACGCCCGAGUGCCCUCACACACAUCCAUCUCACCCCUAUGUGCACCACCGCGUGGGUCCCCCUUUGGCUUGUUCGGAGGGGGGCUUACGUUUUCACACAAACUUUGUAUGCAGUGUAGAAUGUAUUUUCUGUUUUUGCGAUCACGCAAUCAAUACAACUUUCAACAACGGAUCUCUUGGCUCUC
rnacentral:misc_RNA from 1 species